ensembl:lncRNA
GGGGGGUCCUGGGGGCUUUGGGGGGGUCCUGGGGGGCUUUAAAGGGGUCCUGGGGGGCUUGGGAGGGGUUUGGGGGGCUUGGGGGGGUUUGGGGGGGUUUGUGGGGCUUGGGAGGGGUUUUGGGGGGUCCUGGGGGGGUUUGGGGGGGUUUGGGGGGUCCUGGGGUGGUUUUGGGGUCCUGGGUGGGGUUUGGGGGUAAUUCUGGGGGGCUUGGGGGGGCCCUGGGGGGGUUCUGGGAGGUCUCACCCCCAGAGGGGAUAUUUUGGGUGGGGGGGGUUAUGUUCUAUGUUUGGGGGGGGUCUCCCCCCCAGAACCGCUAUUUGGGUGGGGGUCUCACCCCCAGAGGGGAUAUUUUGGUGGUGGGGGAGGUUUAUGUUCUAUGUUUGGGGGGCUCUCCCCCCCAUAACCCCUAUUUGGGGAGGGGUCUCACCCCGUGCCCCCCCAGGCCUGCUGCCCCGGGAACGCUCCGACAGCGGCGGCUCCGCCUCGGAGCCCCCCCCGGGCCCCCCCCCGCGGGACCGCGGGACCCCCCCGGGGGACCCCAAACCCUCCUGGGGGGGGGGCGAUGCCUUCACGACCCCCCCCGAACCCCGGGGGCUGCCCCCCGCCCUGCGACCCCCCCCCCGGCGACGACGAGAAGGGGCUGCGGUGAGUGGGGAGGGGGAUUUUGGGGGGAAUUUUCACCUUUUUGGGUUUUUCUUCCUUUUUAACCCCAUUUUUUUUUCCCCUCCCCCCCCCAGGAGUGAGACCCCCCCCAUCCGCCUGCGGGACCCCGGCGCGCCCCCCCCUUACUCCUACCCCCCCUUCGAGAACGGGGGGGGCCCCCCUUUACCCCGUUUCCCACCCCCCCCCACCGAAGACCCCUCCCCAAAAACCCCCCCCCGCCCCUGGACCCUCCCCCCGGCCGCGCCGCCCCCCCCGCGCCCCCCCGAACCCCAAAACGGCCCCGACGGGACCCCCCCCCAGAACCGCCGCCCCCCCCGGGCGCCGCCGCCCCCUCCCCCUCCCCCUCCUCCUUCAAGGACCCCCCCAAAAAGCCGCCCCCUCCCCAAAAACCCCCCAAGGAGGAGGGGGGGGGCGCCGGGACAGCGCUGGGGGGUCCCCCCAAAGAGGAGGUUGUGGGGGGGGGCUCACGGCGCCCCCCCCGCGCCCCCCACGACCCCCACAAACCCCCCCGCGGUGGGGGUGGGGGUGGGGGGGGGUCGCGCACCGAGACCCGCUGGGGACCCCGGCCCGGGGGGGCGCCCCCCCCCCCGCCGCGGCGCCCCCCACCCCCACCACGCCCAGCGGGAGUUCCGCGGGUUCCGGGGACCCCUCCCCAAUUCCGGGGACCCCCCCCCCCGGCGCGGCGGAGGCGCGGAGCGAAGGCUCCGAGUACGAGGAGGAGCCCCCCCGGCGGCGGCUCCGCGGCUCCGACAGCUCCGACAGCGGAGACCCCCCCCCAAUUCCGGGACCCCCGGGACCCCCGCCCGCCCCGGGACCCCCGCCCGCCCCGGGGCUGCCCCCCCGCGCCCCCCGCGGCCGCGUUUUCACCCCUCGGGGGGUCCCGUCCCGCCGCGGUCGUGGGGGUGCCGGGGGGGUCACCGCCACUUCCAACUGGAGCCCCCCACCCACAAUUUCCUCCCAGCCGCCCCCCCCCGUUUCUCGUGGGGGAGGGGGCUCGGAGCGACCCCCCCGGCGGCGGCGGCACGGGAGGGGGCAGCAGCAGCAGGAUAAACCCCCCCGGUUCCGCCGCUUGCGCCAAGAGCCCCCCGCCGCCCCUCCCCCCCGGGCAGCCCCUCCCCCACAGCCUUCCUCCUCCUCCUCCUCGCCGCCCCCUCCCCAAAAUGCCGCCCCCCGGCGCCCCCCCCGCUCCCCCGAGCACAACUCGGACCAGUGGGAAACGGCCUCGGAGAGCUCCGACCUGGGGGGGCGGCGGGGGGGACCCCCCGACCGCGACCCCCCCGCCCCCGGGGGGCCCCCGGCUCAAGGACCCCCUCCCCAUAAUUCCGCCGGCGCCCCUCCCCCCAGCCCCCGCCUGGCCAAGCGGAGCUUCUCCAGCCAGCGGCGCUCGGGGGGACCCCCCCCCCAAAGCUCCCCCCAGCCCGGGGGGGGCCGCGGGGCGGGCGGGGGGCGCGGCGGGAAGGGGGGCGACAAGAGGGGGUGGCCCUCGCCCCGAAAUCGCAGGUGAGGAGGGGGAUGGGGGUGGGUUGGGGAUUUGGGGAGGGGGGCUUGGGUGGAUGCGGGGUGGGUUGGGAGGGGGUUGGGGGGGUUUGGGGGGUUUUGGGGGUCCUGGGUGGGGAUGGGGGCGUUUUGGGGGGGUUUUGGGGGUCCUGGUUGGGGUUGGGGGGAUUUUGGGGGGGGUUUGGGGGUCCUGGGGUGGAUUUUGGGUGUCCUGGGUGGGGUUGGGGGGAUUUUGGGGGGGAUUUUGGGGGUCCUGGGUGGGGUUGGGGGGGAUUUUGGGGGGUUUUGGGGGUCCUGGGUGGGGUUGCGGGGAUUUUUGGGGGUCCUGAGAGGGAUUAGGGGGGAUUUUGGGGGAGGUUUGGGGGUCCUGGUUGGUGUUGGGGGGUUUUGGGGGUUCUGGGUGGGGUUGGGGGGGUUUUGGGGGGGAUUUUGGGGGUCCUGGGUGGGGUUUUGGGGGUCCUGGUUGGGGUUGGGGGGAUUUUGGGGGGGGCUUGGGGGUCCUGGGUGGGUUGGGGGAUUUUGGGGGUUCUGGAUGAAGUUGGGG